UCUUCUCCUCGCGCAAAUUGAAAAAAAAUUGAACUUUCGCGCUUUGAUUUCUUCUCCUCUACUCCAGUGCCGUAUUCAUCCUCUCCUUCAGUGAAUGUCGGUGAGGCCAUAGUGAACAUCGCCUCACCAAUUCCAUUGCUUUUCUUCAAUUUUUAUUAGGAUGUCGGAGCAUGCUUUCUUGUGAUAGUUGAACUGUGUAAGCCUCUCCUCCUGGUUUUUUCUUUGAAAAUCAGUGUAAACCUCUCUUUUGGUGAACGUAGGUGAAGCAACGAUAAACAUUGGAGCACGCAUGUUCAUUUCCUUUCUUCAGUUUGCUUUUCUUUGCAACUCCAUUGUCAUUGUUCAAUUUCUUCGCCAAAUCUCGAUAGAGUAUGAAUAAUAUAAGAAGCUAGGGAAUUGCAGAGGAACUUGUGCAAACACUAGGCGAGAGAGUUUCGCUAGAAGACCGAAGUGGUAGUUGGAGUUGAUGAGAUUUGAAACAGAGGCAACUUUCGGUGCUGACAUGUUCAAAAUAUUAGAUUUUUUGUUAAAUUUGCCUAUAUAAAGGACUCCAUCAGCAUAAAAGAUGAGGUAUGAAUGGACCAUUAAUGGGGCUCGAAUAGGUAAAAAACUAGAGGGUGGUGGAAAGGACUAUCCUUUCCAUCAUUUGUAAAGCAUUUCUUCAUUUUCUCUGGUCAGUCAAAGAGUGAAAACUUGAGGUUUGAGUGAAGCAGAUCCCGUCCUCAUUUCCUCUAACUUGUAAUGUCAUUUCUAUUCUUUCCAUUCUUUGUAUUUCUUUGUAAUGUAUUUGUUCAUAUUGUACAGUGUCUAAGGUCUAUAUUCUUUAAUACAUUGCAUAUUUAUACUA